rnacentral:rRNA from 1 species
GAUGAACGCUAGCGGGAGGCUUAAUACAUGCAAGUCGAGCGGCAAGUUUUGAUAGCAAUAUUGGAACCUAGAGCGGCGCACGGGUGAGUAACGCGUACAUGACCUGCCCUAUACUGGGGGAUAGUCUUGGGAAAACUGAGAAUAAUCCCGCAUGUGAUUAGAAUGCUGCAUGGCAAAUUAAUUAAAGCUGAGGCGGUAUAGGAUGGGUGUGCGUCUGAUUAGCUAGUUGGUAGUGUAACGGACUACCAAGGCGAUGAUCAGUAGGGGCGUGAGAGCGUGACCCCCCACACGGGUACUGAGACACGGACCCGACUCCUACGGGAGGCAGCAGUAAGGAAUAUUGGUCAAUGGAGGGAACUCUGAACCAGCCAUCCCGCGUGAAGGAUGAAGGGGCUCUGCCUUGUAAACUUCUUUUGCAUGGGACGAAAAAACUUAAUUUAUUAAGGACUGACGGUACCAUGAGAAUAAGCACCGGCUAACUCCGUG